rfam:Ruminococcus sp. CAG:353 genomic scaffold, scf223
UACAGAGUAGAUGACUGUGCGUUUGGAGCCUGAAUACAGGCACCGCAGUGUCCCGACAACGGGGAGUUGUGUCGGGGACGAAAUUUUCCGCUGAAAAGCGGAAAUGCGGUACAGUCAUCGCAUCCCGCUGAA